rnacentral:piRNA from 1 species
UAGAAGAGUUGUUGACACCACGGGCAGACA